AUUGAACGCUGGCGGCAGGCCUAACACAUGCAAGUCGAGCGGCAGCGGGACCUUCGGGUUGCCGGCGAGCGGCGGACGGGUGAGUAAUGCCUAGGAAUCUGCCUGUUAGUGGGGGAUAACGCGGGGAAACUCGCGCUAAUACCGCAUACGUCCUACGGGAGAAAGCGGGGGCUCUUCGGACCUCGCGCUAACAGAUGAGCCUAGGUCGGAUUAGCUAGUUGGUGGGGUAAUGGCUCACCAAGGCGACGAUCCGUAACUGGUCUGAGAGGAUGAUCAGUCACACUGGAACUGAGACACGGUCCAGACUCCUACGGGAGGCAGCAGUGGGGAAUAUUGGACAAUGGGCGAAAGCCUGAUCCAGCCAUGCCGCGUGUGUGAAGAAGGUCUUCGGAUUGUAAAGCACUUUAGGUCGGGAGGAAGGGCUGUAGGUUAAUACCCUGCAGUUUUGACGUUACCGACAGAAUAAGCACCGGCUAACUUCGUGCCAGCCGCCGCCGUAA
rnacentral:rRNA from 1 species